AACGAACGUUGGCGGCGUGCCUAACACAUGCAAGUCGAGCGCGGGCAGGACUUCGGUCCUGUUCCGAGCGGCGCACGGGUGAGUAACACGUGAGUAACCUGCCUCGAAGUUUGGGAUAACCGCCCGAAAGGGUGGCUAAUACCGGAUAAGCCCCCACUGGCACAGGCCAGAGAGGGAAAAGCCUUGGCGCUUCGAGAUGGGCUCGCGUCCCAUUAGCUAGUUGGUGAGGUAACGGCUCACCCAAGGCGAAGAUGGGUAGCUGGUCUGAGAGGAUGAUCAGCCACACUGGAACUGAGACACGGUCCAGACUCCUACGGGAGCAGCAGGU
rnacentral:rRNA from 1 species